rnacentral:lncRNA from 1 species
UUUUUGUAUUCAAUCACAUGUACCUCUCCAUACAUAUUGUUUCUAUAUAAGAUCAGUAUUAAACACAAGGAAGUUACAUUAUGUACAAAGAAUACACCUAAUAAGUUUUUAGUAGGCAUGUUCAUCAACAAAGACGAUGUCAAGAUGCGUUCAAUGUCCAUCUAGGGACCUCAUACAAGAGCUACGCGUGCAAGCGCAGUGACACGCCGAGGGAUGGCUUCAGAUCUGAUAGAUGCAAAUUGGCCUGAAAACCAACUCACUGAAUUCUCUUACUUCUUCCUGUUGGGAAGGGAGUUAAUCAGAAUUGGAUAUAUUUCCACAAAGAUGAGUUACCUGUGCAGAAGCCAUGGAUGAUGGUGAGCAGUCGAAGUAAAAAAAUUGCGAGUACAGUCUCCAAGAACUGCCCAAAUCAAUCGACCACAGCAAACAUGAAACACCUGUAUGUAUAGUUUUUGGAAUGAGAGAAAAUCAGGGCAAUUCAAUUGCUUGGUGGAAGAAUGAAUCAUACAUUCAUAUACUGAACUGAAAAAUAUAUAGGGAAACCUAUCCAAUCAUCAUGCGGACAGAUGUUAUGCUUGGGAGAAAACGGUGAGUGCGUGGUAGUAAGGGGGGAAGCAUAUAUAUACACGUACUUGUACCGUGAGGCAGCGGAGAGGAUGGGCACAUCACCAGCCAUGAUUGUGUGUAGAGAAACUGAAGAUUUAUUGCGUCUUCAAAUCGCUGCGGAGCAGUUUCCUCAUACCAAGAGUCAUGGCGUCAACCUCCCGCGUCCGUUGGGUCCCCUCCUUCCGCCAAGCAAUCGAGGCAUCCCCUUUACCUUCCCAAUCUCUCUCACACGAAUCCCCUUCAAAUCACAGCAUCGAAUCCCCUUAAAAUCACAGCGACCGAUGCCCUUCCCCCUUCUCUGGAAAUCGUAGCG